rnacentral:rRNA from 1 species
UACGUAGGGUGCAAGCGUUGUCCGGAAUUAUUGGGCGUAAAGAGCUUGUAGGCGGUUUGUCGCGUCUGCUGUGAAAUUUCGGGGCUCAACCCCGAACUUGCAGUGGGUACGGGCAGACUAGAGUGUGGUAGGGGAGACUGGAAUUCCUGGUGUAGCGGUGAAAUGCGCAGAUAUCAGGAGGAACACCGAUGGCGAAGGCAGGUCUCUGGGCCGGUACUGACGCUGAGACGCGAAAGCGUGGGGAGCAAACAGG